UGCCACCCGCAGGAGUUUCUUAUUUGUUUAACGUGCAGCUUUCAGAAACGUCUUACAAAGUUGGAAAAAAGCUUCAUUUUAACUGUUAUAUUUUCAAUUUUAUGCUUAAAUUUGAAUAUACUCUUCGAAAAAUGUAAUAUUUGAACAGAAACAAUCCCGUCGUUAUGUUUGUUACGCCAGCGACGCAUUAAAUACUCAGGAUCAAAACAUGCAAUCAUCCCGGCUGUAGAUAAGUCUCCGUCUGUGCUGGUGGCAGCAACAAGCAGCGACAGCGACUCUGAGGACGAAGCGCUGCAGAGCAACAACUCUCACUACGACAACCAGACUCCUCCCUGCCCAGGAGAGCAGCUUCUGUCUGAUGACUUGAGUCUUCCUGCUGACAGACGUUUCAGAGACAGAUAUCCCGAGGAGACAUCUGUCCACCACUAAGCUUGUUUUUUGUUUUUUUGGGGAACACACUUCAAGUUUUCAUUUUAAGAGAAGUUGACAGCGAAGGUUGAGAAGGUGUAAUUACGUAACGUGUGCUUUGUGCUGCGAUGGCUCACUGGCUUGUCGUCAUGGAUAUAUAAUUUUUCG
rnacentral:lncRNA from 1 species